rfam:Triticum aestivum genome assembly, contig: Triticum_aestivum_CS42_TGACv1_scaffold_423257_5BS
UACAUACUCCCUCCGUUUGGAAUUACUUGUCUCGGAAAUGAAUGUAUCUAGACAUAUUUAAAAUAUUUCUAGAUACAUUCAUUUCCGAGACAAGUAAUUUCGAACGGAGGGAGUAGAUC